GAGACCUCAGGUCAGGCGGGGCUACCCGCUGAGUA
rnacentral:rRNA from 1 species